UAGUAUGUACUCACUAAUAAGUGUAUGUUA
rnacentral:piRNA from 1 species